AAAUCGGUACCAUAUUUUGACCAACGGCUGAUCAUAGCUAAUGAUCACCUAUAUUGUUGUAUUUGAUUAUGUUGUGUGUGUUACUGAAUCUCCUGUGUUUUCCACUGCUCAAGUGUGUGUGUGUGUGUGUGUGUGUGUGUGUGUGUGUGUGUGUGUGUGUGUGUGUGUGUGUGAACAAGAGUCUAUUCGGGGGGGUUGAAUUAUUGAUGGAGUUUCAGUGUAGAAUUGUGUGACAGUUGGCUUUAAUUUCCCAUUUAGCUGCAAUAGGGACAGACAGAAACAGUGCGCUAACUAAUCAAUACAACACAGUGCAGCAAUACACACUGCUGCUGCCAGGGGAACACAACACACACUCGCACACAGACACACAACAUCACAAUGAGUGUGGCUUUCUCUCGCAUCAAAAGAAUCAAACACAUUGUUUUCUCAUGACUUUAGAAAUCUGAACAUAAUAUUUCUUCUCCCACUGGUAUUAUUUAGAUUGACUUGCUUCAUUAGAAGUGGAACUGGAAAGAAUCGUCCUUAAAUGAGGAAACAGUGAAGUCAUUUUUCUAUUCCAGGACCAAUGUAACUUACUACAUGCACAUGUGCAGGUGUUAGUGUCCAAUAUGUAUGCUGAUGACACGGUGAUAUUUACCGACGCAAGAUCAGAAGAACUCACGAGCAGGUCAUCUGAUUGGCCGGUAUGUUGAAGGACAUUCUUCUCACGGCAACGAGGAAUUAUUCAGUCAAUCCUGACAUUUUAAUUAAUGUCGAUGUUGUCACAUCUGUGUCAAAUGUAAAUUGACACUAUAACCGAUACCGACCCGUUUUUCAAAAUGGUGAAAUUUAAUCUGGAAUGAGCUUUCCAACUUCCAACUUUCCAGCUUUUCAUACAAAAACCUAUUCUGUCAAUUCAAAAUGCCGAAAAAGGGAGAAGAAGAGGCUGCACUGCAAAUUAGACAAUGAAACAUCAGUUAUUCAAAGCAUGACCUGAUUCUUGUUUAGUUGGAAAUUUCAACUUUGAAAAUGAUUAAUUAUUAACUCGUCACGUUGAGCGCUGGAGGUGAAAUAUAGUGCAGUAUGUUGAGCCUUUGACCUUCAUCAGUUUAGACAAACAAACAUUUAUAUAUAAAUAUAAGAAAUCAUAUUUUAUUGUCUGAACUGAAAAUUGAAGUGCAAAUCAAGAAAAAUAAAUGUAGGACUUUCAAUGUUGGUGUAGCGACAUUUACUGAAGUAAACUGGUCAAAAUACUUCAAUCAACUCGAGGUUCCUUCUAUGAAAUGUUCUCUUCUCUGAAUGGAAAUGUUGUGAACCCGCCCUCAUCCUCCCUCCUCCACCCUCUCGUCUCCGCAUUGAUCCCCACCUGAAGUCGGAUGAUGAUCGGAGCCGCUGCGCCUCAAAGAACAAUUAAUUGUGCAUGUGAUCGAUGUUCAUCCGGAAAUCAAUCGACACUCUGCUCCUCGCUGCGUCUGUUUGAGCGGCUCAGCGUUUGUGCAUGAGACUGACAACGUAGGGACACAUUUAAAAUAAGGACACAACACAAGAAGAAUCUAACGGUGGCGUUUCUUCCCAGUUUAAACGGAAACGUCACGACUCGAUGCUGGAAUCCGAAAUGUCCACAACAAGCUCCAGUGCACAGAAACCCACAAAACACAGCACACGCACAUACAGUCACGUCCACGGCAGCUCCACCGCCACGCGGACGCUUUCCUCACUGCGAAAUCAAUCGAUGAUCCUGGUCUGCAGGACCACAGAGCAACCUUGGAGUUUAGCUCUCUCCUUUGGAUCGUUUGUUUUCCAUUUGGUUUUUGUUCAGUUCUGUUUCUGGCUCACGUCGUCUCAGCGGACGAGCCGCCGCCUCCGUCAGGAAAAGCAGCCCAAGGAAGUCGGGAGAUUUUGAAAGUCUUCUGAAGAGAGCUGAAAAGUUUCAACGCGGCGUCCAGAAACACAAUGAACGCUCUCGCCGAGCAGAACAUCAACGGGAUGCCGCGCGAACAGUGAACGCGCUUUCGUGAAAGAAGUUAACCAGUUUCUGGUGGAAUGAGUGGAAAUCCUUAAACUAGGAGCAAACCAGCGCUCAGAACGAGGAGGGUCGAUCGGCUGAUCUGAAGUCAGGGGACGAGAAAUGCAUGGAGGCCACACACACUGAAACGUGCAAACCACGACGUUCCUCGUGUGUCGUGCCUUCACUGCGGGUGAGUUUGGGGUCGUCACACGGGGGGAGGGGGGGAUGGGAGGGGAGUUCAGAGGCAGACGGGGGGAACAAAAUGCAGGAGAGCGGUAGACGUGGGCGGGACAGAAGGGGACGGGUGAGGCCGAGUGGCCUCAUGAAAGAGUAAACGGGCAGAUCGGCACCCAUGACGGUGUGGGGGGGGGGGGGGGACAAACCUCACCCCACCUCUCCCCCGGGCAAAAGUCAGACAGAGCGGCCAGAUACACAGAUGAAUUUUUCAUCUGGGAAAUGGGAAAAAAAUAAAUAAAAAUGCAUGAUAGCACCAUAGAGUGUUGCUUUCAACACAGUGGCUUCAACUGAUGCAACAAUAGUUUUAACAGCUAAUGAAUAUGGGUUUUUAUUUAACUUAUUUAAGAAAGACAUGUAGGAGAUGUUUGUGUUUCUCCUCAUUAAUCUCAACAAUAAUGUUAGUGGAAAGUGGAAAGCAGAGUGAUGAAACAAAAGGAGCGGAGUACGAGCGAUGGAUUCAAUAAAGUUAUUAUUAAAGACCCAUAAUUGGUCGUCGAUUUGGAGUAUAGACAUGAUUAGAAAAGCUGAAGUGAGGCCACUUUUACCUCCUUGAUUUUGUGAAAAACACCCAGUGCAUGCUGGGAGAUAUCCGUGGCGAGACACGAAUGAGUGAAAUAUUAAUGAGGUGAAACAUUUUUGCAGUGAGGUAAUUUUCUUUUUUUUUUUUUUCUCAUCCUCCUCAUAUAGUCAGCAGGUAUGUUGUCACCCCCUGAACCGAUGACUACACACACACACACACACACACACACACCAUCUGUGCGUGUGUGUGUGUGUGUGUGUGGAGGCCAUUUGCAGGCGGAGGAAUGAACACGUUGUGGCACUCAGAGGGCGGCUGCAGCCGUUGGAUGUGUGAGGAGUGCGUGAUGCGGUCCGAGCUGGCAGCAGAGGCGAAGAGAACGAAGAGCGCUUGUUUUAUUUUUGAAGAAGUGAAGUGAAAGCGUUUCGGUGUGCGUGGAUGUGAAGAGGUGAAGUAGGUCGCGGCCGCCUUCCACCCGUCUCCCGUUUUAGGAUGAAAAAAAGCCCAAAGCUUCAGAUGAAGCCUUGAUCAGAGGGUUCGGCUCUGCUGUGGCGACAUGAACGCCGACCUCCUCCGAGGUCAUGACGGAUUGAAUUGAACCAGCAGUCGUCAUUAAGAAAUGAUUGACUGGUAUUGCUGGACAUUCAGGAAAAAGGAUUUAACGCUUAUUGAAAAAACUUCAAGAGAGCGUAUAAACUUUUCUGCCACCUGAAAUUUUGGCAAUUUUUGAAGCUGCGACACUCAUCUGAUGCAAAGCACAGGCAACAAAUAAUGGAUGAAUAAAUAAAAGAGACGGUCCACGUUGUUCAAACCAGCUUCCACUAAUCCCCCCUUUUUGAUCAAAGUCUCUUUGCAUCAGUUUUCUGUCUUUUGGUAAUUUCCCUCUUUAGCCCGGUAGUCCUGCUCAGUAAUUCAUCCAAGCAGAGCAGAGGAAGACAUGUAGAGACUGAAAACACAAAUGAGAUUAAAUGAGUCCUGGUUUAUGCUUUUGAAUCCUGCAAAUUUAGAUAUUAAUUCUUUCAUAUAUUCUGUCACAAAAGCCUCUUGAAACCAACACAUUUAAUCUCUUUAUCUCGUGAACUUGUUCGGAGGUGGACAGUGAACGAGGGGGUGGAGAAGAGCAGAAAUAAAUGGGGAAAUGGACGAAAAGAUUAGGUUAAUGUUGGAAAACAACAGAUCCAAAUAAAGAAGGGGGGGGAGACAAAGAGAAUGAGCAAAGGGACGGAGAAAGAAGAAAGAGAAGGAGGACAAGGCCCAACACACUCAGCUACAGGAAAGACUGCAAUUAAUAAUUUACAUCAUCUGUCACUGUGCGCUCCACUGGACCACUCAACAAACAGCACCCGUAAUUUAAGGCAAAAACACACACACACAUGCGCAGACACACACACACACACACACACACACGCGCACAAAUGCAUUUGAGCCAGCAGCUGCAUCCACACACACAUGCACAAACAGAUGUGGUCGCAUGCAAGAGGCUACACGCGCACACACCUGCAAUACCGCAACUCACCUCUGCGCCACUUCCUGCUACAAGCAGAGCGGCGGAGAUCCGACCUCUGCGCUCCUUUGACAUCCGUCCUCUUCGUGCCUCGUCCCCCGGACCUCCGUCUCUCUGAGCCCCCGUCCCCGGGAAGCGUGCCCCUCGCAGUCCCGCCUUUUGUCUCCGCCGGCAGCCAUGUUAAAUUCAUGCUGUGUGUGCGCGUGUGUGCGUGCGCGCGAACGCCAGCUAGCAACCCGACAGUAAAUAUUUGAUACCUUUCGUUUCGUCUUGUAGAAACUCCCAAAAGCAUACGAUUGGAACAGUUUUUGAGGAAAGGAAGGGCGGGGGAGGGAUGGGGGGGGAGGUGGGGGGCAUGUUAAAUUCACAACGUUUGUUUUGCAGGGUAAAAAUUCAGCAUAUACCCAUGUGGAAUGUCAUAAUUGAUCUGGUGUGCCAGACAUCUACGGUUUGAAUAUUCAUCACUGACUUCCUGGAGGCAUGUCUAUGCAGCGAGACAUGUCCAUGCAGCGAGACAUGUCCAUGCAGCGAGGCAUGUCCAUGCAGGGAGGCAUGUCUAUGCAGGGAGACAUGUCCAUGCAGCGAGACAUGUCCAUGCAGCGAGACAUGUCCAUGCAGCGAGACAUGUCCAUGCAGCGAGGCAUGUCCAUGCAGGGAGGCAUGUCCAUGCAGCGAGACAUGUCCAUGCAGCGAGGCAUGUCCAUGCAGGGAGGCAUGUCUAUGCAGCGAGACAUGUCCAUGCAGGGAGGCAUGUCUAUGCAGGGAGACAUGUCCAUGCAGCGAGACAUGUCCAUGCAGCGAGGCAUGUCCUUGCAGCAAGUUGGACAAACUACGAAUUCAUGAAAAUAUUUCUUGAAUACAGAAAGGGCCCGUGGCCUGUGAGUGCCGCCCGUCUGCCCCCCACUGGGAAAAACUUCUUUCGGACGCCACUGAUUCAGGAUUCAUCCUUUGUGGUGGUUUUCUGCGGGAACUCGUCCCUCCAGACUCCCACACUGGAUGCAGGAGGAAUAUUUCCUCUGGUCUGUGUGUGUGUGUGUGUGUGUGUGUGUUUGUGUCACCUGACACCUUAUUUCAUGGAUGUAAAACUCAAAUAAAAUAUGUAAUUGAUUAAAGGAGUUCCAGCGAGAUCCCACUGACACAAGCUCCUACUGGAUGAGUCAUUUUAUUAGAUGCGAUGUCUUGUGUGUGCGCCAUCGCAACACCAUGACGUCAUAGCUAAAUGACAUCAUGUGUGUUGAAAAGUAGCGUGUUGGUGAAAGAAGGAUAACUGACUUCACAAACUGCAUCAUAUAUUUCUUAUGAAGAGUUUUCUUUUUACAGCAAGGAGACAAAAACUCAUCACUUAAUAAUCAGAGAGGAUGCUGGAAGCCAUUAGCAAGAUUUGUGAAAGUUAUACAUAUUGUUGAAAAUCAUAUAAUGAGGAAAUGUUUAAUCACGGUUUAUUAUAAAAAAAAUAAGUAAGUAAUCCCAGAUUACACUCACAUUAUUAUUAUUAUUUAUUAUUAUUUCAGUCGGACCAAAUGGCAAACUUUGUGUCACGAAGGGCGGCGUGGCCUUCAGGUGUCAUUAGAAUAUCCAGGAAAUUUAAAUACAUAUUUGAAUUUCAUCAAGGAGCGUUCCCACAUCGAGACGAGGUCAGUGACACAACACGAACCCGAAUGGAAAACAUUUCAAUUUCACACUUCAUCUGCCUUAAAAUAUCCGUUCCUGUCCCUGACACACACACACACACACACACACUCACACACUCACACACGCACACACACAGGAAGAGGAUGUCAGUCACUCACCAUCGCACCGCUUUUCAGAUUAUUUGAGGCGCAGUGGAAUGGGAUGGAGCGCCGGGACACCUGAGCCAAAACUCUGCUUUCAAGGGGAAGACAACUUGUUGAAGGAGUUCCUCAUCUCACAAAAAAAUGAUUGAAAUUAUUCUACAGUCCUUUUUUUCCACAGGAGAGAACGUUUCAACAAGCAUCAUAUCAGUUCACAUAUAAGAGCUGAAGAGGAAGUGGAUUUAAUAAAAGAUGUUGAAAAUCUACCUAGAUUUAGCUCCAAAAACCGACUAAAAAUGAAAAGCUUCUGAAUUAAAGAUGUAAAAAAAACCAAAUAGUUGAACUAGCUCAUCAAACACCUUUCACGUUAAACAUUCAAUUGUUAAUAUAAGAAUAUUGAUUGGUGUAAAAUACAACUAAGUGAAUUCAGACACGACUAUUUACAUCUAAUCCAAGCUGCAAAAAAUCAAUGAAUCAGACGACAACGACUUUCCCUCUCAAGAGGAAGACUGACAGAUAAAUCCAAUCUCUUCACUUAAUAACUCGCUGCGAUGCAGCAAAGAACAAUAAAACGAGCCGUUCUUUACAUUCCACAAAGCAGAGAGCAGCUUUUAAUGCUCCUCAUUUUCCGUGCGAUCGUUCAUGAGUUGUGCGUUUGACCCGAGGCGAUAGAAGUCUUCUCUGCGCUGCUGCUUGACAGCUCGGCCUCAGAGUCCAGUUCGUCUGAUCUUAUGAUCCUGGAUGAGUUUAACACGGAGACCGAACAGACAGCAGAGAGGGGGGUUGAUUUAGCUGCCAGGUCUGUUUCUGACGAGUUGCAUCUCCAAAAUGCGCAUGUGUUGUUCCCGCAGGUUCAGUCCUGAUCCGCCGUAAUAAAGGACCAUCGGACAGAAGAUGCUCUACUUCCACAAAGCUUCUCGUCUUGGCCACCAGGUGAGCUUACGAGAUACGUCACGAGAACUUGAAUUCCUGUCACACUGAGGACUCAGUCAACACCUUGAAAUGAAAGCUCUAAGUUUCUAGUCAUUUUAAAUGCAAUGUGGGUGCAGAGCCAUAAUGUGUGAGACUCCCACUACUUAUGAACUGUAAAAGUCAGCAUCACACGCAUCAUAACCCCCGACACGUACAGUCUUUGAAUACACAAACCACUCUAACACACUUACUGUGUUCGAUGCCCCCCCCCCCAGACUGUGUGUCCUGCUGCCGGUUGGACCUCCAGGCCUCAUCAAUAUUGUAAACUGGUACUUAGCGGACAAAAGACAGCAAGGACCGGAGCAGAGGACACCUGGGGCAGAGAGAGAGAGCAGCCAGGAGGCCGGAGGAGAGUGUGUGUGUGUGUCUGCAGACCGUGCACGCGUGUGUGUGUGUGUGUGUGUGUGUGUUAACACAGCGUUCCGCGUUGGUUCUUCUGGUGCUUUGCUGGAGGAAUAAACGGCGAACCAUCUCGGGGGCCGAGGAGACGCGAGCGACCUCGUUGUUUCUGCUCUCGGCUGCGUUCACUCUUACUGCUCGAUGCACUUUUCUCGCCGACGUGUUCUUGAGGGGUCGAGAGGAACACGGACAAUUAAAGAGGGCGGUGGAGAUUAAACAGGAGUAAAGAGGAAUGAGAGAGAAUGCGCGGGCACGAGGAGAAACUAAGUGAUCGAUGAUAAAGAGUAAAGGGGCGGGACAUUGGCGAGUGACUGACAGGACGUGUUUACUUCUUCCCCUCCUGCCACGUAGCCCGUGUGUCCACAGCAUCGGCUCGGUUAACAAAAUCAAUAAGGUGGCAUGUGUGUGAACGUGUCGUGAGGAGCGUGUGAGUGUGAGAGAGGGGGGUGAGGGGGAUGAGGGGUGAGGGUCUCCGUGCGGAGGCAGGUGAGAGAGGCGGCUCCCGAGGCGGGACGUCCCUUUUCCCCCACAUUAAUUAUUGAGGACACAUCGAGAGCUGGGGGGAGGAGGGAGGGGGGCACAGGUCAGGAGACCACAACUCCAACGGGCUUUCAGCGUCCUCAGUGUCCCCAACACACACACACACACACACACACACACACACACACACACACACAAUCAUAUACUGUGCAUUAACUCACUCACACGGUGUUGGAGGUCAGCUGUAUUAUUUUUAUUUUUAAAAGCCUGGAAUAGUUCAAGGGCCUUUAUUGUGAAAGGUAAGAAUGAAAGGAGUGGAUCCGGUCCGUUCUGCUUUCUGUCCAGGUCCAAAAGGAUUAAGUCGGCCGUUUCAGAUUACAGAGCCUCUCUGUUGUUGUGCACUAAAUUGUUGUUUUUAAUAUUUGAGAUUAUUUCAGAAAAAAUUCAAUAUGCAAUUGUUAGGAAAUAGUAUACUGACGUAUAAAUGGCCUUUGCAUUUUUGCAACUCGUCAGCAACCACAAAUUUCAGUUAUUUUGAAGAUUUUGGGGGUAAUAGUUUACCAAGGAUUUCAUUCCAAAAGUAAUGCAUGGGUGGGUUGAGGGGUAAAGCCUGGUGCUCCAGGAGUGAAUUAUAGAUUGAGAAUAUUAGGAUAAAAAAUGAUUUGGUCAAAAAAUACUUUUUAAAUACGUCAAAAUAUGUGAGUUCUCAUUAAAAAAAGGUAAAGAAUAUUGGGUAAAAAAAUGUAUUGAAAUAUAUAUUUUUUUCAAUGUUUUGAUUCCUGUAACAAUGAAUCGCUGUGCGAGGAUACGUUGCUGACUGAGGAGUUCGGUUAAGAUUGUGAAAACACACUACAUCUCUCUCACCCUCUCUCGCCCUCUCACCCUCUCUCGCCCUCUCUCACCCUCUCUCGCCCUCUCUCACCUUCUCUCACUCUCUUUCACUUCUCUCACCGUCUCUCACCCUCUCUCGCCCUCUCUCACCCUCUCUCACUCUCUCUCACCCUAUCUCGCCCUCUCUCACCUUCUCUCACUCUCUUUCACCUCUCUCACCCUCUCUCGGCCUCUCUCGCCCUCUCUCACCUUCUCUCACUCUCCUUCACCUCUCACCGUCUCUCACCCUCUUUCGCCCUCUCUCACCCUCUCUCACCCUCUCUCGCCCUCUCUCACCCU
ensembl:lncRNA